GAAGCAGCGAUGUGAAGCAAAUACGCACCCAAAAGACCGGUCCCAGUUCGGAUAAGAGGCUGAAACUCGCCUCUUUGAAGUCGGAAUCGCUAGUAAUCGCAGAUCAGCAUGUUGCGGUGAAUACGUUUCCUGGUCUUGUACACACCGCCCGUCAAACCAUGAGAGUCGCCAACACCCGAAGUCCGCUUUGCGGCCUAAGGUGGGGGAGAUGAUUGGGGUUAAGUCGUAACAAGGUAAC
rnacentral:rRNA from 1 species